GCCUCUACUUCCAGCAGCUCGUCUCCGCCGUCGACUUCUGCCACAGCCGCGGCGUCUACCACCGCGACCUCAAGCCGGAGAAUCUCCUCCUCGACGAGGACGGCAACCUCAAAGUCACCGACUUCGGCCUCAGCACCUUCUCCGAGCACCUCCGCCAGGACGGCCUGCUUCACACCACGUGCGGCACCCCGGCCUACGUGGCGCCGGAGGUCAUCGGGAAAAAAGGCUACGACGGCGCCAAGGCUGAUAUCUGGUCUUGCGGUGUAAUCCUCUAUGUUCUCCUCGCAGGGUUUUUACCCUUCCAGGAUGACAACUUGGUCGCCUUGUAUAAGAAAAU
rnacentral:lncRNA from 1 species